rnacentral:rRNA from 1 species
UACGUAGGGGGCAAGCGUUGUCCGGAUUUAUUGGGCGUAAAGAGCGUGUAGGCGGCCUGACAGGUCCGCUGUGAAAACUCGGGGCUUAACCCCGAGCCUGCAGUGGAUACGGGCAGACUAGAGGUAGGUAGGGGAGAAUGGAAUUCCCGGUGUAGCGGUGAAAUGCGCAGAUAUCGGGAGGAACACCGGUGGCGAAGGCGGUUCUCUGGGCCUUACCUGACGCUGAGGAGCGAAAGCGUGGGGAGCGAACAGG